rnacentral:rRNA from 1 species
AGUGAACGCUGGCGGUAGGCCUAACACAUGCAAGUCGAACGGCAGCACAGUAAGAGCUUGCUCUUACGGGUGGCGAGUGGCGGACGGGUGAGGAAUACAUCGGAAUCUACUUUUUCGUGGGGGAUAACGUAGGGAAACUUACGCUAAUACCGCAUACGACCUACGGGUGAAAGCAGGGGAUCUUCGGACCUUGCGCGAUUGAAUGAGCCGAUGUCGGAUUAGCUAGUUGGCGGGGUAAAGGCCCACCAAGGCGACGAUCCGUAGCUGGUCUGAGAGGAUGAUCAGCCACACUGGGAAUGAGACACGGUCCAGACUCCUACGGGAGGCAGCAGUGGGGAAUAUUGGGCAAUGGGCGCAAGCCUGAUCCAGCCAUACCGCGUGGGUGAAGAAGGCCUUCGGGUUGUAAAGCCCUUUUGUUGGGAAAGAAAAGCAGCAGGUUAAUACCCCGCUGUUCUGACGGUACCCAAAGAAUAAGCACCGGCUAACUUCGUGC